rnacentral:rRNA from 1 species
AGUCACUGACAUUAGACUACCCCGUAGUCCCAGCCGUAAACUAUGCGCGUUAGGUGUACUGGUGACCACGAGUCGACCGGGUGCCGAAGGGAACCGUGAAACGUGCCGCCUGGGAAGUACGGUCGCAAGGCUAGAAACUUAAAGGAAUUGGCGGGGGAGCACCGCAACGGGAGGAGCGUGCGGUUUAAUUGGAUUCAACACCGUAAACUCACCAGGGAAGACUGUUACAUGAAGGCCGAGAUGAAGACUCUGCUAGAUUUUCAG